AUACGUAGGGUGCGAGCGUUAAUCGGAAUUACUGGGCGUAAAGCGUGCGCAGGCGGCUUUAUAAGCCAGAUGUGAAAUCCCCGGGCUCAACCUGGGAACUGCAUUUGGAACUGUAAGGCUCGAGUACGGCAGAGGGGGGUAGAAUUCCACGUGUAGCAGUGAAAUGCGUAGAGAUGUGGAGGAAUACCGAUGGCGAAGGCAGCCCCCUGGGUCGAUACUGACGCCCAUGCACGAAAGCGUGGGGAGCAAACAGGAUUAGAAACCCCGGUAGUCC
rnacentral:rRNA from 1 species